rnacentral:sRNA from 1 species
ACCCUCGGCUCCCGAGGCCCCGCGGCGCCUCCUUCUGCGGACUCUGCGGGACCCUCCCCCGCAGGCGCUGUGCCCUGGAGAAGGCACAGCGGCGCAGGCAUGGCCGCGGGGGCGGCGGCGCGGAAGACAGCGCCGGUGCUGGAGGCGCCCCUGCAGCAGGAGCAGCUCUCUCAUACAAAGCUUUCUGCAGAAGACGCAUGGAACCUGCAGCAGGAGAGGAUGUACAAGAUGCACCGGGGCCACGAUUCCAUGCACGUGGAAAUGAUCUUGAUCUUCCUCUGCGUUCUGGUCAUUGCCCAGAUAGUGCUGGUUCAGUGGAGACAGAGGCAUGGCCGAUCCUACAAUGUGAGUCACCCCCGUGGCUGCUGGGAGCCUGCUCCAGCUUGUAUCAGCUUGAUUGUUUUUUUCCAGGACAUGUUCUCCCUUGGUUAGCACUUUGAAGGAACUGCCUUGGUUUAAGUCAGUGGUCCUCAACCAAGUGCAAUUUCACUCCCAGGAGACAUUUGGCAAUGUCUGGAAACAUUUUUGACUGUCAAGACUUGUGGGGGGUGAAAAGGGGAGGGAAGUUGCAACUGGCACCUGGU